rnacentral:rRNA from 1 species
CACGUAGGGGGCGAGCGUUGUCCGGAUUUAUUGGGCGUAAAGAGCUUGUAGGCGGUUUGUCGCGUCUGCUGUGAAAAUCCGGGGCUCAACCCCGGACUUGCAGUGGGUACGGGCAGACUAGAGUGUGGUAGGGGAGACUGGAAUUCCUGGUGUAGCGGUGGAAUGCGCAGAUAUCAGGAGGAACACCGAUGGCGAAGGCAGGUCUCUGGGCCACUACUGACGCUGAGGAGCGAAAGCAUGGGGAGCGAACAGG